CCCCGUCGUCGUGACUGGCGUUUGGGUGGACCACCACCGGGGAGCGGCGAUCGUGCUCACGGCCUGGCCGUCCACCAGCCUGGCUGGAGGCCUGCCGUACCCGGCCACGAGCACGCACCUGUACCUGGUCGCCCGCCUGGGCCGAGGUC
rnacentral:ncRNA from 23 species